rnacentral:rRNA from 1 species
UACGUAGGGGGCAAGCGUUGUCCGGAUUUAUUGGGCGUAAAGAGCGUGUAGGCGGCCAGGUAGGUCCGUUGUGAAAACUCGAGGCUCAACCUCGAGACGCCGAUGGAAACCAUGUGGCUAGAGUCCGGAAGAGGAGAGUGGAAUUCCUGGUGUAGCGGUGAAAUGCGUAGAUAUCAGGAGGAACACCGGUGGCGAAGGCGGCUAUCUGGACAGAGUCUGACGCUGAGGCGCGAAAGCUAGGGGAGCAAACAGG